UAAGUACAGAAUGACUAGAAACUGAGUGU
rnacentral:piRNA from 1 species